UGGACCUCAGGUCAGGCGGG
rnacentral:rRNA from 1 species